GUUCUCAGUUCGGACUGCAGUCUGCAACUCGACUGCACGAAGCUGGAAUCGCUAGUAAUCGCGGAUCAGCACGCCGCGGUGAAUACGUUCCCAGGUCUUGUACACACCGCCCGUCACACCAUGGGAGUCAGUAACGCCCGAAGUCAGUGACCCAACCUGAAAGGGAGGGGGCUGCCGAAGGCGGGACGGAUAACUGGGGUGAAGUCGUAACAAGGUAGC
rnacentral:rRNA from 1 species